rnacentral:rRNA from 1 species
AGAGUUUGAUCCUGGCUCAGAUUGAACGCUGGCGGCAUGCCUUACACAUGCAAGUCGAACGGCAGCACGGAGCUUGCUCUGGUGGCGAGUGGCGAACGGGUGAGUAAUAUAUCGGAACGUACCCUAGAGUGGGGGAUAACGUAGCGAAAGUUACGCUAAUACCGCAUACGAUCUAAGGAUGAAAGUGGGGGAUCGCAAGACCUCAUGCUCGUGGAGCGGCCGAUAUCUGAUUAGCUAGUUGGUAGGGUAAAAGCCUACCAAGGCAUCGAUCAGUAGCUGGUCUGAGAGGACGACCAGCCACACUGGAACUGAGACACGGGCCAGACUCCUACGGGAGGCAGCAGUGGGGAAUUUUGGACAAUGGGCGAAAGCCUGAUCCAGCAAUGCCGCGUGAGUGAAGAGGGCCUUCGGGUUGUAAAGCUCUUUUGUCAGGGAAGAAACGGUGAGAGCUAAUAUCUUUUGCUAAUGACGGUACCUGAAGAAUAAGCACCGGCUAACUACGUGCCAGCAGCCGCGGUAAUACGUAGGGUG